UGGUUUGCUUGCAAACCAAAGCUGGCGACCGGCGCACGGGUGAGUAACACGUAUCCAACCUGCCUCAUACUCGGGGAUAGCCUUUCGAAAGAAAGAUUAAUAUCCGAUAGCAUAUAUUUCCCGCAUGGGUUUUAUAUUAAAGAAAUUCGGUAUGAGAUGGGGAUGCGUUCCAUUAGUUUGUUGGCGGGGUAACGGCCCACCAAGACUACGAUGGAUAGGGGUUCUGAGAGGAAGGUCCCCCACAUUGGAACUGAGACACGGUCCAAACUCCUACGGGAGGCAGCAGUGAGGAAUAUUGGUCAAUGGACGCGAGUCUGAACCAGCCAAGUAGCGUGAAGGAUGACUGCCCUAUGGGUUGUAAACUUCUUUUAUAUGGGAAUAAAGUGGUCCACGUGUGGAUUUUUGUAUGUACCAUAUGAAUAAGGAUCGGCUAACUCCGUGCCAGCAGCCGCGGUAAUACGGAGGAUCCGAGCGUUAUCCGGAUUUAUUGGGUUUAAAGGGAGCGUAGGCGGAUUGUUAAGUCAGUUGUGAAAGUUUGCGGCUCAACCGUAAAAUUGCAGUUGAUACUGGAUAUCUUGAGUGCAGUUGAGGCAGGCGGAAUUCGUGGUGUAGCGGUGAAAUGCUUAGAUAUCACGAGGAACUCCGAUUGCGAAGGCAGC
rnacentral:rRNA from 1 species